AUUGAACGCUGGCGGCAUGCUUUACACAUGCAAGUCGAACGGCAGCGCGGGCUUCGGCUUGGCGGCGAGUGGCGAACGGGCGAGCAAUACAUCGGAACGUGCCCAGCUGCGGGGGCUAGCUCGGCGACAGACGGAUUAAUACCGCAUUCGCCCUGAGGGCGAAAGCGGGGGAUCUUCGGAUCUCGCGCCCUUGGAGGGGCCGAUGGCAGAUUAGCUAGUUGGUGGGGUAAAGGCCUACCAAGGCGACGAUCUGUAGCUGGUCUGAGAGGACGACCAGCCACACUGGGACUGAGACACGGCCCAGACUCCUACGGGAGGCAGCAGUGGGGAAUUUUGGACAAUGGGCGAAAGCCUGAUCCAGCAAUGCCGCGUGUGUGAUGAAGGCCUUCGGGUUGUAAAGCACUUUUGGCGGGAACGAAAAGGACUGUGCCAAUACCACGGUUCGAUGACGGUACCCGCAGAAUAAGCACCGGCUAACUACGUG
rnacentral:rRNA from 1 species